GUUAGGAAUAUUGGACAAUGGGCGCAAGCCUGAUCCAGCCAUGCCGCGUGAGUGAUGAAGGCCUUCGGGUUGUAAAGCUCUUUAGUCCACGAAUAUAAUGACUGUAGUGGAAGAAUAAGCCCCGGCUAACUUCGUGUCAGCAGCCGCGGUAAUACGAAGGGGGCGAGCGUUAUUCGGAAUCACUGGGCGUAAAGCGUGCGUAGGCUGUUUUGUAAGUCAGAAGUGAAAGCCCAGGGCUUAACCCUGGAAUUGCUUUUGAAACUACAAGACUCGAAUUCGGGAGAGGAUAGCGGAAUUGUCAGUGUAGCAGUGAAAUGCGUAGAUAUUGACAGGAACACCAGUGGCGCAAGCGGCUAUCUGGACCGAUAUUGACGCUGAGGCACGAAAGCGUGGGGAGCAAACAGGAUUAGAUACCCGUGUAGUCC
rnacentral:rRNA from 1 species